GCUGGUGAACGGUGGGUCGGACCUAACUAAGAAAUAUACCAAUAACUGUUAGAUGAGGUCACAGGACUUAGAGAUCAAGUUGCUGUAACAUGCUUGGAGAAGCAUCUGGACAAAGAGUUAUCUACGUAUUGGUAUACGUAUCACCAAUAACUAUUAGGUGAGGUAUCGUACAUUGAUAGGACUAUAGCACCCACUAGAAC
rnacentral:lncRNA from 1 species